GAUGAACGCUGGCGGCGUGCCUAAUACAUGCAAGUCGAGCGAACAGACGAGGAGCUUGCUCCUCUGACGUUAGCGGCGGACGGGUGAGUAACACGUGGAUAACCUACCUAUAAGACUGGGAUAACUUCGGGAAACCGGAGCUAAUACCGGAUAAUAUAUUGAACCGCAUGGUUCAAUAGUGAAAGACGGUUUUGCUGUCACUUAUAGAUGGAUCCGCGCCGCAUUAGCUAGUUGGUAAGGUAACGGCUUACCAAGGCAACGAUGCGUAGCCGACCUGAGAGGGUGAUCGGCCACACUGGAACUGAGACACGGUCCAGACUCCUACGGGAGGCAGCAGUAGGGAAUCUUCCGCAAAGGGCGAAAGCUUGACGGAGCAACGCCGCGUGAGUGAUGAAGGUCUUCGGAUCGUAAAACUCUGUUAUUAGGGAAGAGCAAAUGUGUAAGUAACUAUGCACGUCUUGACGGUACCUAAUCAGAAAGCCACGGCUAACUACGUG
rnacentral:rRNA from 1 species